rnacentral:rRNA from 1 species
AUACGGAGGAUCCGAGCGUUAUCCGGAUUUAUUGGGCGUAAAGGGUGCGCAGGCGGCCAUUUAAGUCAGCGGUUAAAUCGUGGGGCUCAACCCCAUUCUGCCGUUGAUACUGGGUGGCUUGAUUGCGGUCGAGGUUGGCGGAAUUCGUUGUGUAGCGGUGAAAUGCAUAGAUAUGACGAAGAACACCGAUUGCGUAGGCAGCUGACCAGACCGCAAAUGACGCUCAUGCACGAAAGUGCGGGGAUCGAACAGGAUUAGAUACCCUGGUAGUCCGCACAGUAAACGAUGAAUACUUGUUUUCGGCGAUAUAAUGUCGGAGGCAAAGCGAAAGCGAUAAGUAUUCCACCUGGGGAGUACGCCGGCAACGGUGAAACUCAAAUGAAUUGACGGGG